rnacentral:rRNA from 1 species
AUUGAACGCUGGCGGCAUGCCUUACACAUGCAAGUCGAACGGUAACAGGUCUUCGGAUGCUGACGAGUGGCGAACGGGUGAGUAAUACAUCGGAACGUGCCCGAGAGUGGGGGAUAACGAAGCGAAAGCUUUGCUAAUACCGCAUACGAUCUCAGGAUGAAAGCAGGGGACCGCAAGGCCUUGCGCUCACGGAGCGGCCGAUGGCAGAUUAGGUAGUUGGUGGGAUAAAAGCUUACCAAGCCGACGAUCUGUAGCUGGUCUGAGAGGACGACCAGCCACACUGGGACUGAGACACGGCCCAGACUCCUACGGGAGGCAGCAGUGGGGAAUUUUGGACAAAGGGCGCAAGCCUGAUCCAGCCAUGCCGCGUGCAGGAUGAAGGCCUUCGGGUUGUAAACUGCUUUUGUACGGAACGAAAAGACUCUGGUUAAUACCUGGGGUCCAUGACGGUACCGUAAGAAUAAGCACCGGCUAACUACGUGCCAGCCGCCGCGGUAA